rnacentral:rRNA from 1 species
UGCUUAACACAUGCAAGUCGAACGAUGAACCUCCUUCGGGAGGGGAUUAGUGGCGAACGGGUGAGUAACACGUGGGCAAUCUGCCCUUCACUCUGGGACAAGCCCUGGAAACGGGGUCUAAUACCGGAUACGACACGGGGUCGCAUGACCUCCGUGUGGAAAGCUCCGGCGGUGAAGGAUGAGCCCGCGGCCUAUCAGCUUGUUGGUGGGGUAAUGGCCUACCAAGGCGACGACGGGUAGCCGGCCUGAGAGGGCGACCGGCCACACUGGGACUGAGACACGGCCCAGACUCCUACGGGAGGCAGCAGUGGGGAAUAUUGCACAAUGGGCGAAAGCCUGAUGCAGCGACGCCGCGUGAGGGAUGACGGCCUUCGGGUUGUAAACCUCUUUCAGCAGGGAAGAAGCGAGAGUGACGGUACCUGCAGAAGAAGCGCCGGCUAACUACGUGCCAGCAGCCGCGGUAAUACGUAGGGCGCAAGCGUUGUCCGGAAUUAUUGGGCGUAAAGAGCUCGUAGGCGGCUUGUCACGUCGGAUGUGAAAGCCCGGGGCUUAACCCCGGGUCUGCAUUCGAUACGGGCAGGCUAGAGUUCGGUAGGGGAGAUCGGAAUUCCUGGUGUAGCGGUGAAA